ACUAACAAGGAUUCCCCUAGUAACUGCGAGUGAAGCGGGAAAAGCUCAAAUUUAAAAUCUGGCGGUCUUUGGCCGUCCGAGUUGUAAUUUAGAGAAGCGCCUUCCGCGCCGGGCCGUGCACAAGUCUCCUGGAAUGGAGCGUCAUAGAGGGUGAGAAUCCCGUCUUUGGCACGGAGCCCCCGGGGCUUCUGUGAUGCGCUCUCGAAGAGUCGAGUUGUUUGGGAAUGCAGCUCAAAAUGGGUGGUGAACUCCAUCUAAAGCUAAAUAUUGGCGAGAGACCGAUAGCGAACAAGUACCGUGAGGGAAAGAUGAAAAGCACUUUGGAAAGAGAGUGAAACAGUACGUGAAAUUGUUGAAAGGGAAACGCUUGGAGUCAGUCGCGUCGAUCGAGACUCAGCCUCGCCUCGGCUUGGUGUACUUCUCGGCUCGACGGGUCAGCAUCAAUUUUGUCCCUCGGAUAAUGGCAAGGGAAAGGUGGCACCCUCACGGGUGUGUUAUAGUCUCCUGUCGCAUGCGAGGGGUGGGAUUGAGGAACUCAGCACGCGCCUUUGGGUGUCGGGGCUUCGGCCCACGUUCACGUGCUUAGGAUGCUGGCGUAAUGGCUCCAAACGACCCGUCUUGAAACACGGACCAAGGAGUCUAACAUGCCUGCGAGUGUUCGGGUGGAAAACCCGUGCGCGAAAUGAAAGUAAAAGUUGGGACCUCUGUCGUGGAGGGCACCGACGCCCGGACCAGACCUUCUGUGACGGAUCUGCGGUAGAGCAUGCAUGUUGGGACCCGAAAGAUGGUGAACUAUGCCUGAAUAGGGUGAAGCCAGAGGAAACUCUGGUGGAGGCUCGUAGCGAUUCUGACGUGCAAAUCGAUCGUCAAAUUUGGGUAUAGGGGCGAAAGACUAAUCGAACC
rnacentral:rRNA from 1 species